CCUAAAUGCUUUACUGUUGGUUUCUUUUCCAUAUGAAAGAAGAAAACAUCUUUAUUUAAACUGCAGCCAGAGGGUAGAAAUAAGGAGACAGGAUGGUAAGGGGAGCAAAUAGAUGAGAAGCACAUGAAUUUUGAUACAAUCAGCUUUUGAGAUGGAUCACCACCUGUCAUGGGAAUGAUUUCUUAUUAAUAAAGAAACUGCCUAGGCCCCUUGAUAGGCCCACCCUUAGGUGGGUGGAGAAAACAGAAGAGAAUGCUGGGAAAAAGAAGCUGAGUGAAGAGUCGCCAGGAUUCUCCCGCUCCAGACAGACGCAGGUUAAGAUCCUCCCUGGCUACUUCGUCAUUUCAAAACAAAGCCUAAACAAACUCCCCAUGUAUUUUACCCUGUUUGUCACCGAGGAUUACGACUGACUUGAUCUCAUCUGUGAAGCCUUGACGGGUUGAGUCUCAAACAUUUCUUUAUUGUGUUUGUUGAAGGAGCUACCAAGAACUAAAAUGAACAGGACCAGGAGAUCCUCCAAGCCUUCCUUUCAAUUCAAAUCCACACACUUCCUGUCCCUUGUAAAGGGCCCUCCUGUUGUUAGCAUUCUUUUUCAAUACCGUUUUGUACUAUAGCAUUAAUGCCUGAAAUAUGUUUUAAAGAAUUUUAUUUGUUUGAUAUAUGUUUGCCUAUCGAGGUGCUGUUGAGAUGGCUCAGUGGUUAAGAGCACUUGCUGCUCUUGUAGACAGCCUCAAUUUGGUUCCCAGGACUCACAUUCGUCAGCUCCCAACUGCCGAAAACUCCUGUUCCAGGGGAUCCAGCACCCUCUUCUCCCUCCUGCACUCACAUGGUGCACCCACACAUAUACACAAAAGCACACACAUGAUAAAAAUUAAACAAAUAUCUUUAAUUGCUUAUUGGGGAACAGAUACCAGUUGUUGGAAAUAGAACAAUAAAAUAAAAAUAUAGCGAAAACAGAUAAUAACUAUAAAGAUUAAGCAGGGGGGUAAAAUACGCCCAUGUGAGCAAAAUAGAGGAUGAAAAGAGGCAAGAAAAAUGGAUAGGGAGAGUUGAAAUUCAACAUACGAGGGGCAGGGUGGGAUUCCUUGGACAAUGAUGUGAGUGUUGAUACAGAGAAGUCAAGUAAAUGGGGACAUCAAGAGAUGCAGACUUCCAGAGAGACACAAUCGCAUAGGACCAUCCCCAAAAUGGGAUACAUAUGGAAGGGAAGUAACAGAGGCCAAUAUGCGGGGACAAGAAGAGGCAUGUGGAGUCUUUUUAAAUUUUUUAAUGUUUUACUUUUUAGAAUGUAUUCUUCUCUUAUAUGUUACAUCCUGACUGAAGUUCCCCCCUCUCUUUUCCCCACCCAGGCCCUUUACCCAAUCCCUACCCCCACCCCCAGGUCCACUUCUCCUUACCCUUCAGCAAACGGCGGACCUCCCAGGGUUUAUAAUGCAAAUUUAUGUGAUAUAACUUGACCUUCACAGAAAUCCCUUUACAUGAAAUAGCAAUUAUCUAUUUAUGAGUUGGUAUACUUUUGAAAUUUACUUCCAUGUCCUCAUUCAUUCCAGUCAGGUUAAUGGGAAAUCGUCUACAAGCUAGCCAUUUUGUAACAUGGAAAAUGGGUUUUAAUAUGAUAGUCAAAGUCUCAUCAUUUCAAUUACUAAUGGGUAUGAUUAAAAAUUAUAUAUCUCAAUAUUAUGCAUUGAUUCAUGUUGGAAACAUUAUACAACUUACAAUAACAUAAAUAAAGGUCUUUGCAUGUAUGAUUGCCUUUAGGAAUUAACUCAUGAAACACAAGUUGGAUAUAAAAAGGAGAACAAGAAGUUACUUUCAGUGGUAUGAUCUGUUUAGAAGUAUGUUUCUAUGAGAUAAUUUAAAAUUUCU